AGUCUCUAGAAAACUGCACGGAUGAUGGGGACACUAGUGGAGGAGGCAGGAGGAAGCGGUGAGAGCCUCUGGGCCUCCCGUGCCGGCAGCCGGGAGUCACAACAGUGAAUGGAGACCACCAGGUGAAGCCUUCAUGGCUUCUGGAGAAUGGAUUGGAGCCGACAACCCUCCCCUACAAAGCAUGUCCCACGGGCCAGGUCUUGGGAGAUUAGGAUGGACCGUCCGGCUCCCCAGCUGGGGAAAGGAACCGUGCAGAAUGCUCGACUGGGCUGCUCUAGGACGCCCGGCCGGGACCGCGGAACCCGCAUCACCCCCAGGGGAAACCCAAAGCAGACUGACCCGGGAACGCUGCUCCGGACGCACAGAAAAAAAGACGAGGCCCGAGCGCGCCGGAGAAGGUUCUCGGGCGGGGAAAGGUCUCAACCGGAACUGUGCUGCGGGCGGGUCAGCGGAACUCCUUGAUGGCGUCGUAAAAGGCCUGGAGGUCCACACCAGCCAUGUCUACAUAAUGAGAUCCUGUCUCAGAAAAGAAAAGGAGAAGAAAGAGGAGGGGGCUAUGUGCCUGUGGAGGCCAGAAGACAACCUUGAAUGUUCAGACCAGGCUGACAUCGAACUCACACCCUGCCUUCCUCUGCUGCCUGAGUGCUGGGAUGAAAGGCGUGCACCACCACACCUGGUGUUGGCUUCAUUUUGAAAUAUGGUCUCUUUCUGGGUCUUGGAGCGCCCUAAUUCAACUGAGAUGGCAGACCAUGAGCCUCAGAGUUCCCCUCCCCUGUCUUUGUCUCCUCAGCUCUGGGAUUACGGUUGUGCGCCUAUAUGUCUGGCCUUACAUGUGGGUUUUGGGAAUUGAAGCAAGACCCUAAUCCUUGUGCAGCAAGCACUUUACAGACGAGGUCAUCCCCUGGCCCAAAAUACUAUUUUUUAAAUGCUUUAGUACAUUUUAGUGCUGGAGAGAUGGCUCAGUGGUUCAUCCCUUUACUAUAUAGAGACUACCCAUAAGUUCUGUGACUCUAGUGAACCCUGACUACUACAAUAAAGAAAUGUUAAUAAUG
rnacentral:lncRNA from 1 species